rnacentral:rRNA from 2 species
UCUUUACACAUGCAAGUCGAACGGCAGCACGGACUUCGGUCUGGUGGCGAGUGGCGAACGGGUGAAUAAUGUAUCGGAACGUGCCCAGUACCGGGGGAUAACUACGCGAAAGCGUAGCUAAUACCGCAUACGCCCUACGGGGGAAAGCAGGGGAUCGCAAGACCUUGCACUAUUGGAGCGGCCGAUAUCGGAUUAGCUAGUUGGUGGGGUAACGGCUCACCAAGGCGACGAUCCGUAGCUGGUUUGAGAGGACGACCAGCCACACUGGGACUGAGACACGGCCCAGACUCCUACGGGAGGCAGCAGUGGGGAAUUUUGGACAAUGGGGGAAACCCUGAUCCAGCCAUCCCGCGUGUGCGAUGAAGGCCUUCGGGUUGUAAAGCACUUUUGGCAGGAAAGAAACGUCGCGGGUUAAUACCCCGCGGAACUGACGGUACCUGCAGAAUAAGCACCGGCUAACUACGUGCCAGCAGCCGCGGUAAUACGUAGGGUGCAAGCGUUAAUCGGAAUUACUGGGCGUAAAGCGUGCGCAGGCGGUUCGGAAAGAAAGAUGUGAAAUCCCAGAGCUUAACUUUGGAACUGCAUUUUUGACUACCGGGCUAGAGUGUGUCAGAGGGAGGUGGAAUUCCGCGUGUAGCAGUGAAAUGCGUAAAUAUGCGGAGG